CUCAAAUACGUAAGCUGGCGAAAGGUGGGUACACACACACACAGGCAUACAUAUAUUGUUUCUUUACCAUCGCAAACAGCGAAUAUUACGCGCCGCGGCUGCCAUCAUCACCACCGGCCACCUUCCUCCAGUCCAAAGUCUUGAAUAGAAGUCGGCUGUCUGAAAGCAAGCUUGUUAUCAACGGGCACACCGUGCUACAUAGGCAAGAGGCCACAAAAAAUGCAGUGCCGGCUGGGCUCUCUAGGCGGCGGGCGCAUGCAGACUUCCCUGUUGGGGCGCAUAGGAGGUGCCGCGCUGUGCCAGAAGCGACUCUUUCAAAGUACGGCGGCCGCUGGCGCCGGCACUACCACCGCCGCGACCGUGAACUCCAGCCGUUCCUCGGACAGCGGUGCGAACGCGUCUGCGUCGUCAGACACGUCUUUGCACACCCAGCAGCUCUACAAAUCGGUUCACAAGGGCCGGGGCACGACCCCGAUCCCCAAGUCGUAUAAGGAGCCCACGCUUCGUUCCCGCGUCGCUCCUGCUAGUGGGGCCGGCGCCGUUUCAUCGGCUGCUGCCGCCGCGGAGACGCUGCCGCCACCGCUGGUGGGCGCGCGCUCGUCCUGCGCCGAGGACGCCGGCCCCGUUCCCCAGCGGGCACUUUCGCCGCUUCAGAAGAGACAGCUGCAAUUUCGCAAUAAGGCUGCCUUUGUCCUUACCCCACAAGCUCUCCGGCGUGUCAAGUACCUCCUCGCGCAGUACUCGACAGUGCACUCGGCCGCGGCGGCCAAGUCGCCGUUGAACAGCGACGCAUCUGAUGAGGUUCCUUCUGGGAUUCGCAUCGGUGUGCGGCGGCGCGGCUGCAGUGGGUACAGCUACACGGUGAACUACUUCUUUGACUCGGCACAGCGUAGCGGCAAGGGUGCGACCCCGUCGCGUAAGAUGGCCGGCUUGAUGGAGGACUUGGUUGUGGAGCAGGAUGGUGUCAAGGUUGUAGUGGACGCUGAUGCGCAGUUCUACGUGAUUGGCACGGAGAUGGACUACGUCAUAACCAACGUAGAGGAGAAGUUCACCUUCAAGAAUCCGAAUCAGAAGUACAGCUGCGGCUGUGGGGAGAGCUUCAUGCCGUAUGACGCGGAUGACAUGGACACCGGCUAGCGGUACGACAAGCAUGAGUGCGAGGGGUGGGUGGGUGGGCGAAAUUGGGGUGGAGAGCUGAACACGCGAAGGCUCUACGCGUCUACGCCCCCCCCCUCUUUUGGCACCGCAUGGGGGAGCAAGGCGCGUAGAGGCUUCGGCAGUGGAAUGCUGGUGUCUGUGUGUGUGUGUGUGUCUGUUGGUGUGUGGGAUGCCUGGGCUUUUGGAGGACGAAGGUUUCCAGCGUUCCCUUUGCUGAUUUCUUUUUUUCAUUUUCUCUGCACGUACACGGUUUCCUCGUGUGUCGGCGUGUGCGUGGGCGCCUGCUUUGGUCCCGUCGCUUGUCCUCUUCUGUCGCUUCUUGGCGCUGUGUGUCUUUGCUGCUGCUGCUGCAUUCACGCCUCGUUUCCUUUUCUCGAUCUCGUGCGUCCACUUCUCGCGCGUGGGCUGCUUGGUAUCAAGCUCUGUUGCACAGACGCACGUAGCCGUACGCUCUGUCAUGCGCGCCUGCCAUUGUGCCGUGCUCCACUCAUGCUGUUGCAUGGAUGUCUGCGCGCGCUUCCAUCUACGGUCAGGGAUGCGCUUCCUCUUGCUUCCUCGGCACACGCACCCACGCACACAUACGCCAAUGCAGGCACUGAAACACGCACACGACAUUCACAUGUACGCUCCUUCGUAACAGUGCGUCACUAUUCUUGCUGGCAACUGCAGCAGCUCAUGUAUUCUCCUUCAAAGCAUCUCCUCUACUUCCCUGUGCGCGUGUAAGCACGCAGACACGCACUGAUCGAACAGACGGGGGAGGGGAGAACAAGAGAAACCGCUUGGGCGCGCUCGGACGUGGCUAGGGCGAGGGCACUCUCGUUUCUUGUGUUUGCAUCCUCUUCUCCACCGCUCACGCGCAGGUUUAU
rnacentral:misc_RNA from 1 species